AGUGAACGCUGGCGGUAGGCCUAACACAUGCAAGUCGAACGGCAGCACAGUAAGAGCUUGCUCUUACGGGUGGCGAGUGGCGGACGGGUGAGGAAUACAUCGGAAUCUACUUUUUCGUGGGGGAUAACGUAGGGAAACUUACGCUAAUACCGCAUACGACCUACGGGUGAAAGCAGGGGAUCUUCGGACCUUGCGCGAUUGAAUGAGCCGAUGUCGGAUUAGCUAGUUGGCGGGGUAGAGGCCCACCAAGGCGACGAUCCGUAGCUGGUCUGAGAGGAUGAUCAGCCACACUGGAACUGAGACACGGUCCAGACUCCUACGGGAGGCAGCAGUGGGGAAUAUUGGACAAUGGGCGCAAGCCUGAUCCAGCCAUACCGCGUGGGUGAAGAAGGCCUUCGGGUUGUAAAGCCCUUUUGUCGGGAAAGAAAAGCAGCAGGUUAAUACCCCGCUGUUCUGACGGUACCCAAAGAAUAAGCACCGGCUAACUUCGUG
rnacentral:rRNA from 1 species